GACGAACCGUGCAAACGUUGUUCGGAAUCACUGGGCUUAAAGGGCGCGUAGGCGGGCAAGCAAGUCCGGGGUGAAAUCUUUCGGCUCAACCGGAAAAGUGCCUUGGAUACUGCUUGUCUGGAGGGAGGUAGGGGCAUGCGGAACUUCUGGUGGAGCGGUGAAAUGCGUUGAUAUCAGAAGGAACGCCGGUGGCGAAAGCGGCGUGCUGGACCUCUUCAGACGCUGAUGCGCGAAAGCUAGGGGAGCAAACGGG
rnacentral:rRNA from 1 species